ACCAUCAAAUCCAAUAAGUUGAAAGUAAAAGCAAAGAAAAAUCAAAUCUUUGAGAAAAAAGUAAUCGAAUCCAAUAUAUCCUUUCUGUUACGCCCAAGAGUUCACGUGACUGUGAUGAGAUCAGUUGAAAGAAUUUGAUAAUAAUAUAAAAUGAUAUCUGUUAGUAAUUUUCAAGUGUAUUCACGAGCUGCUAAAGUGUUACUUUGAUAUAUACUUAGAUAAUUUUGCAUUCCUUUUUGUGUUUAUGAUGUUGAUUUUUAUGCUUUAUCGUAUUAUGAACGACUUGUUUAUGAUCAUGUUUCUCUUUCUAUUUUUAUCAGAAGUUGUUUACAACUUUCUUGUUUUUUUCUAACUUCAUCAAGAUUUUUUUCAAGUCACGUGCUGUGGUAAAAUUACAAGCCGAUUAAGUGAUAUUUCUCAAUUUCGCAAUGUCUGCAGGCGUAAUCUUAUUCAUCACCUGUGAUUGAACAAUUUACUUGAAAUUAGUCGAUCAGACAAAAUAAAAUAAGUUAGUCAGCGCUGUAAUCAGGACGUCUUCAAAGGUCUUCUGGUGCAUGUAGCAGACGACAACUGGAAAAGGUUGCAAAGUUCAAAUAUAGUGGGUCUUGAGUUCUGUAUAUUAAGUACUUGGAGAAAUAUUCAGAAUCGAACAACGUCGCUCAAUGCAAUGGCAAUGGCUUCCUGGCCGUCAAGUAACCUGUUGCAUGGGUUUUGCGUGCUUUUCGACGUUCUGCGUGCAUGUUAGAGCUAAUUUCCAAGAACAUGUGCAUUUCGAAAUGGCUGACUGGUUAUGCAACAUUUCUGUUUUUCUUUGAAGAAGGAAUACGAACAGUUAAGAGGAAAAGGUUUUGUUGCAGUUGAAAAACACGCACGUUUUGUUGCAUGGCAUGCAAUUGCAUCCCAAAGAUAUUUUUCGCAACGACUAGCCAUUCCUAAAAUUCUAAGAGCCAGGUCCCAGAAAAUGAAAUCACAUACGAUUAUUUAGACACACAUUAUCAAUAUUUUAUAUUAUAUCAUUUAGGAAUUACGAAAAUAAGUGAAUUUUCGUGUGUCAUUUAGCUUUUUUAUGAAACAUAAUAAAGAUACAGAAAGAAAUAUCUUGAAACUUGCUGCUCACCGUUAAGAUGUAAAAUUUUUACGUGAGAAGAAGUCAUCCAGCUGGCUCACGGAAAGUCGGAGGUUCCGCCCAGGUGCCUGUCCGAAAUAAUGCAUGAAGAGGCACCUUGGGUCUUUCUCCACCAUCAAAGCUGGGAAGUUGCCAUAUAAACUAUAAGUAUGUUGGUGUGACGUCAAACCAACAAAAAUUAUCUUAAUUUCUUUUUUUUUUUUUGGUCUUUAACAUGACUCUUCAUCGAGUAGAACAGUGUCUUCGGAAAACGCCAGUUACCGGUCAAAAUCUCUAGAUAACUAUAUGUAAAUUCAUUUAAAUGAUAAAAAUGACGCUUUACAAAUUCAAAGUUCAUGAUUACCGAAAUAAUUACGGACCUUUUAACGUGACGCGCCACAAGAUAUAGUGAAGUGUAGUUGCAUAGAGAGGACAUUGCCCUUUCUAGUUUAUAUUCAUAACGUUGCAAACUACAUGUCGGUGACUGACUCCAAAAUCUUCAAUUCCUUGCUUUAAUUAUAGUUACGGGGCCCAUAAAACAAUACGCUGAGACCAUUGGUAUGCCGCAACAUCUGCUCGUUAAUACUAAGUAAUGAGUAUAUAUUAUUAUUUCUACGUUUAUACUGAGUAGGCUUGAAUGGCAGAAUAUGAAUAAAAAGACAAAGAGCUUAAUAAAACAGUAACAUAUUGCAGCAUUGACCUUUCCGUCAGGUAGGAAGAACAGUUUUUCUUACAUUACUUAACUACAAGAUAUUAACCUGAACUGAAGCACACGGCUCCGUCAUUGGCAAGAUGGAUGCAAUGAGGAUUAUGUUAAUCGACGAUAUCUG